UUGAAAAAAAAAACGUUCCACCCAGUAGUAAAAUUCAAUGUUUAUUGGCCACACAUCAAAACAGUAUGUUUUUAAUUUCAAGAGGGAAUGUAUAAGGUAUAGACUAUGAAAGUGCAAAUAGUAUUUCAAGGAUUAGUUGCUUUAUAAUAAAAAUGUAACGGCUUUCAACAACAUUUGCCAUUUUUUAAAAUUGUAUAUAUUUUUUUUUAAAGUAAAAUGCCAAGAAAAUCCAAAUGUAAUUUUAUGUUUUACUCAUUUCAUGCACAGUUGAAACUGUUACAUCAAGACUGAAGUCCCACAAGUUCACCAGCUUCGUGUACGGCACUCACAGCUUCACGUUUGCAAGACACGUUUCAAUGCAAUAAGUUUCUUCAGCGGUUGUUUCAAUAGUCACUGUACAAUUACUUCAGAUACAAAUCACACUAGGUUUGGCUAAAGAUCAAUUACUUCAGAUACAAAUCACACUAGGUUUGGCUAAAGAUCAAUUACUUCAGAUACAAAUCACACUAGGUUUGGCUAAAGAUCAAUUACUUCAGAUACAAAUCACACUAGGUUUGGCUAAAGAUCAAUUACUUCAGAUACAAAUCACACUAGGUUUGGCUAAAGAUCAAUUACUUCAGAUACAAAUCACACUAGGUUUGGCUAAAGAUCAAUUCCAAAAUGUGAAACGUUGAAAUAUCAAUAUCAUUUAUAAUUCAUUAAUACUUUAUAUAGGCAACAAAUCAAUACAACUUGUUUUUUUUCUUUCAAAAUUAGUUAUUCAGAAUAUCUCGAUAUCCAUUUUCAAAUCGCAAUAAGAAACGUCCAAUUUAAAUAAAGACGUCUGUUUUUUUUCCCCCCGCUGUCCUGCAUUGUGUUUUCUGCUCCAGGAUACAUUUUAUAAAUACCUUUCACCCCAAAAGUCAAACACUCGUCAUCAACUUGUAGAUCCGUUAUCGAACCCACAGGUAUGUCUGUCCAUCCAAGAACAACCCACCAAAGCCCAUCCACAACAAAAUAACUAACAAACCAGUAAAACAGUGUUUAAUAUCAUCAGGUCAAAAUCAGAGGUGUAAAUUUAUAAAACAUGAUAUAAAUACAACACUCUGGGAAACAACUUGAUACCACACUAAAGAGAGGCUACAAUUAUAAAAAAUGUAUUUU